AGUCGAAUUGUGAUCUCAUGCAACUAGUACUUAUUGCCUUAUAAAUACCUAUAUAAAUAAAGUACUUUUUGUGGACAUUGGGGGGUCGUGAAGACUUUAUCAGUGAGUUUUUGUUCUCGGAAGGACUAGAUAUGAAUAUUGAAUAAUCAGACAUAGUACGAAAAGGUUGUAUGUCUAAAGGGAAACAGCCCAGAACAAGAGUUAAUAAGGUUCCAAAAUUAUUGUUAAGUGAAAUUGAGGCAGUAUUUAUUCUAAACAGCCAGGCAAUAGGCUUAGAAGCGGCCAUUUUCUGAAGACCUCGUAACAGAGCACUGGUUUUAUUUAUAAUAAGGAUAAAAGCACCGAUAAUUUAACGGAUCUAAACAAUAUACCGAGACCUUGUCUAAAUAUAUUAAUGUUUACAUACAUUACAUUGUAUAUUUAGGGUAGCAGAACGUUGGUUAGGUAUAUUAUUACGCCUUUAUAAGGCAUAUAAGGUAUAUAUGCCGUUACAAACCAAGUGAUAAUGCUGACAUGAGUAACGAUAAAGGGGUAUACCCUCGCCUAAAGCUUAUGGAAUUUAAUUAAAGUUACGGCCUCUAAGUUUAUUAUAUAUUUAAUGAAUAAUAUGUUAUUCAUUAAUAAUCCCAAAAGGGGUAAACGAUGAGCAAAUCUAGGAUUUAUAGAACACAACAUUUUUAUAUAGUGACAAAUGUUCUGGAAAACUAUAGAUCUCAUUAGCUAAAUAGUAAUAAACUAAAUCAGAUGACAUGUUUAGCAAAUGUUUUACCGUACCUAACUACUAACACAAGUAAGCAAGUAGAGUAUACGAAGGCGUUCGAGUGAACAAUCAUUA
rnacentral:rRNA from 1 species